rnacentral:lncRNA from 7 species
UGAAAACUGAAGGGCUCUGUUCAUUGACCACCGCUUCAUCAAGGAAUAAUUUAUUUUCCAUCAAACAUCAGGGUCAUAAACAUCUAAAUUAACACCCGAACCCUAAAUACAAUGAUGGUACACACAAAACAUUCACAUGUAUUUGUCUUGUGCCAAGUGAUGCCCCCCUAUUCCUUAUACCCAGUAAAUGUCAGGGAAAAUGUACAGCCUGCUCCACUAGCCACGUUAAACCACUCCCAGUUAGAAAAUAUCCUGUACCAACCUGAAAUACAUAAAACAUAUCAGUUAUCACGUCGGUUGGACUAGCAAAGAAACUACAGGCACUCACAUCGACUCAAUUCAUGCUAAACAAUCAAGCAGACAUAUUUUGAAACAAUAUUCACAUAAGCAGUGUUUUUAAAGCAUCGCGUAGGCGACAAGGCACUCGCAGGGAGAAGGCGUCCUUGACGCCUAGCUAAAAGUAGUGGCUGAGAGGAUUAGAGAGCAGAAUAUAGGAAAUCGAUAGAAAACAGACAAGAAAGGUCAUGCCACCUCCUAUCUCAUCCCCCACCAAAUCUAGGGCUGCCGGCCACCGCA